UCGGGAAUUUUGGGCAAUGGGCGAAAGCCUGACCCAGCAACGCCGCGUGAAGGAUGAAGUAUUUCGGUAUGUAAACUUCGUAAGAAUAGGAAGAAUAAAUGACGGUACUAUUUGUAAGGUCCGGCUAACUACGUGCCAGCAGCCGCGGUAAUACGUAGGGACCAAGCGUUGUUCGGAUUUACUGGGCGUAAAGGGCGCGUAGGCGGUGUGUCAAGUCAGUUGUGAAAUCUCCGAGCUUAACUCGGAACGGUCAACUGAUACUGUCACACUAGAGUACAGAAGGGGCAAUCGGAAUUCUUGGUGUAGCGGUGAAAUGCGUAGAUAUCUGGAGGAACACCGGUGGCGAAAGCGGCUCACUGGACCAUCUCUGACGCUGAGGUGCGAAAGCUAGGGGAGCAAACGGGAUUAGAUACCCUAGUAGUCCCUGAGCGGGC
rnacentral:rRNA from 1 species